CUUUGAGUUUUCACAGAAUUUGGAGGGAUUAGUUUGUGUUUUAUACAAAAUUUGGGAUUUUUUUUUUUUUUUUCCAGAAUUUGGAGUUUUUUUACAUAAUUUGGGUGAUUUGUUGAGUGUUUUUAUGGAAAUUUGGGAUAUUUGGGUUUUUUUAAAUGGGAUUUGUUGGGUUUUUAAUGGAAAUUUGGGGGGAUUUUUUUUUUUUCUUUUUAACUCCGUUUUUACAGUAAAUUUAAUUUAUUUUUUAUUUUAUUUUUCAGUUUUCCAGCUCUGGAAGGCUCCGAGGGCCUGAGAGAAUUUUUGGAGCAGGAAUUCCUGACCUGGCUGAUGUCAGGAGAGCUCUGCAGGACCAUGACCUCGUAGCUCCAGGAUUUUCCAUGGAAUUCCCUCCCCAUCCCAGGAUUUUCCCCCCGUGUUUUCCUCUUGAAAUAAAGGAGUUUAAUUCCAAUUAAUAA